GUGAGCGCGCGCUGCCGCCUCAGGGCGGUGAUAACGGUUGUAACGGUUGUCGCGCGUGGCGGGAACGGAAACGAGGCCCUCGCCGUCCCCGGCAACGCCGUUCUGUGUGACUUUGUAGCUCACAAUCCGAUAGUGGUGGUGGACAGCCACGGGGCUCUGCCCGCUUGUAUGCGACAAGGAGUCAGUGGUGCUCUGAACGCCACCGCCUGCUCCGUGAUCCGCCGCUGUAAUGGCAGCGCUGGUCAGAGCGGGCAAGGGCUCGGUGGUGAGCAUGACGAGCCCCUGGAGCCCAGCCUGAAGACGGGAAAGGUGUGAUCCCGGUCAGUCCUGCAGAGCUCGCGGGCGUGAAAUGCAGCGGGACACGUUUCUCCUCUGCUUGUUUUUUGUUGGCUAAUGCAAGCCCCAAUACAGCCACAGAAGCACAGAACAUUCCAAGCUGGAAGGGACCCGCAAGGAUCACCUCGGCCAAACCCCGGCUCCACACAGCACCACGCAAAAACCAAUACCUGGUGCGAACCUCACCCCGACCCCCACACGCUCUGCCCUCACGCGGCCCCGCGCCGUUCCCGCGCUGCUGUCCCACAGCGGAGCUCCGCGCUGCCCGCACGCGCCCUGUGAGGAAGCGGGCGGCAGCUGAAGGGCGGGUGGCGCCAGUGAGGAGCAUGAGGGACAGCCGCUGCUUCCGACCCGCUGUGUGUGCUGUGCUUCGCGCACCCCGGGGUACCGUCGGCCCUCUGGAGCACGAGAACAGCCAUCUUCUAGAACCUCACAGAAACACGGCAGUGGAUUUCAGGAGGCGGCAGGGCACAAGCAGCUGUUCCCGAGAAAGUUUCUCCUAGCAUUGCUACCAGGUUAAAGUUCCAUCCUUAAUUAAAAAUUGCAACCCGCAUUUCAACUCUAGAAUGGAGAGGAAUAACACGAAAUAUAUUUAUAUUCAUCGGGAUUCAGUUAAAGAAAAUACUUAUUUUUUUUUAUAUAAACGUGCACUUGGGGAUUAGGAGCCCUGUGUGCUUCAUUUGACAAACAGUGAGAAGGAUUACAUUGCCCUGGAGUGUUUACAGCUUGAAGGGCAUGAACAAACAGAAGGAUGACAAAGAGAUUACUUCAGCUCUUGUUGCUUUUACCCCAAGAGAGCAAAGACAGAAAGACACUGAGAAUUAGAAAAACAUGAGCCCAAUGGAAAUAUGUGGUAAGAGAUGCCAGAAGCGAGGGAAGGGACACACAGAGUCAGCUAUUACCGAACCUGUUCUGCAUAAGUAAAGCAGAGCCAGUGUGUUGGAUUCAGUCUCUAAACAAAGAAGCCGUAAGCUGACUAGAAGCAGCAGUGGAGGUACUUCAUGGUGAGUAGGCACAAAACUACAAUUCUGUGCUGGAGUGUUAAGGUCACAUAGUAACUUUUUAGAAGUCACUUACCUUAAUUGUGAACAAAUAGCUGUUGAUUUUUAGAUAUUGAAGGCAUUUUUAAAACAGACAUAUUAAAUAACACCAUGUCUCCUUUUCACUGCUUCUGAAUUUUGCUGUGUGAUUCAGUAACUUGUGUUUUACACAUACAGCAAACUCCGGCAUGCUAGAUUCCAUGAUCAUUAGGUACAGUGUCUAUUUGCCAGGUACUGUACUCUCCUUCAAAUCCCUUCCUAAAACCCACAUCUGUUAGAAAGCUUUAGAAGUAAUUAAGAUGUUACAGUGAAAUAAUUCUAUGCUUGAAACUGCUCAUGAUUUAACAGAGGCAGGAAAUUCUUGUAUCGGUAUGGUAUGUGAGCAUUUCAAGUCCAACUGUCU
rnacentral:lncRNA from 1 species